rnacentral:rRNA from 1 species
UACGUAGGGUGCAAGCGUUAAUCGGAAUUACUGGGCGUAAAGCGUGCGCAGGCGGUUAUGUAAGACAGAUGUGAAAUGCCCGGGCUUAACCUGGGAACUGCCAUUUGUGACUGCAUGGCUAGAGUUUGGCAGAGGGGGGUAGAAUUCCACGUGUAGCAGUGAAAUGCGUAGAUAUGUGGAGGAACACCGAUGGCGAAGGCAGCCCCCUGGGUCAAGACUGACGCUCAUGCACGAAAGCGUGGG